AUCGGGUGGCAAUGACGUUAUCUACAGAAGAAGCACUGGCUAACUCUGUGCCAGCAGCCGCGGUAAUACAGAGAGUGCAAGCGUUAAUCGGAAUCACUGGGCGUAAAGCGCGCGUAGGUGGAUGUUUAAGUCGGAUGUGAAAGCCCUAGGCUUAACCUAGGAACUGCAUUCGAUACUGAAUAUCUCGAGUAUGGUAGAGGGAAGUGGAAUUUCCGGUGUAGCGGUGAAAUGCGUAGAUAUCGGAAAGAACACCAGUGGCGAAGGCGGCUUCCUGGACCAAUACUGACACUGAGGUGCGAAAGCGUGGGGAGCAAACAGGAUUAGAGACCCUGGUAGUCCACGCCGUCAACGAUGAGAACUAGCUGUUGGGAAGUUUACUUUCUAGUAGCGAAGCUAACGCGUUAAGUUCUCCGCCUGGGGAGUACGGCCGCAAGGUUAAAACUCAAAGAAAUG
rnacentral:rRNA from 1 species